rnacentral:lncRNA from 1 species
ACCAGUUAGAAAUAACGAUCAAUCAAUUUUAAACAAAAACUAUAUAGGAAAAUCGUUUGAAGGAUAUGUACAAUAUGUUAAAACAGAUGUUAUAUAUAUUAAAAUAGUUGAUAUAAAUGGGUUUGGUGUACUUUAUAAAAACAAAGCUAACCUAGGUAAUGAUAUAAAAGAUAUAAAUGAUUAUUUUAAAGUAAACCAAAAAGUAUGGGUAAAAAUAUUAGGUAUAAAUUUAAGAAAAAAAUAUUACUAUGUUGGUAAUAUUAUUAAAUAUAAUAAAGAUAUAGUACUAAAAAAUGGUGAACAUUCAAAAGGAUUAGUAACAAAAGUAUGUGAUUCUUAUUGUUUUAUUAAAAUUUUAAAAAACGGUAGUGUAGGAUAUUUACAUAGAUCUAUGUUACAAUUAUUUGACUGUAUUAGUGGUUCAAAUACUGUUAGAUCGUUUGUGUAUGAUUCAAAAAAUGAAGGUACUACUUAUACAAUGGUCUAUGGUGGUGGUGGUGGUGCUACUGCUGCUGCUGCUACUCCUGUUUCUUCUUCUGACGAUGGUAGUGAUAACAGGAUACAAACCAAACGCGAUAAAGAUACAUUUUAUAAGAAUACAACAAACAUUGUAAAAAAUAAUAAUCAAACAAAAGAUAUUAUUUUUACGAAAAUUUUUAAAAUUUGGGACAUUAUAGAUGUACAAGUAGUUAAAAAGUCAGACAAUCAAUUUAAGUCACAUUACAUUUUAACUAUACCAUACGAUACCGAAAGUUAUAAACAGAUACAAACAUACUUGGAAAAUAUUUUGCCAAGAGAAGAUACAGUUUCUACAGAUGUAAUAGGUAUAACUAUGAGUAAUAAAAAAAGAAAUGAAAAUAAAAAUGGAAGAGAUGAUAAAACGGAAGAAAGUAUGACGAAACGCUAUGAAGAGUAUAUAAGUGACGGUAACCAGAGCACAGAACAUGUAAAAAAUGGGACCACUACAAGAAGUGGGACCACUACAAGAAAUAGAGUCGUUAAAAGUAACUAUCGCACACGAAGUCCUUAUAUAAAUAAUAACCGAACAAGUAACGAACGACAAAAGAAAACCAAGCGAAACAAGCAACUAGUGCCACACAUAUAUAACCUUUCCAACAGUAUGACAUUAUAUAAUUUGUCGAAAGUAAUUAAAAUUGCUUUUUCUUCAUUAAAAAAAUAUUUUAUUAUUAACGAAAAUAAAGAAUUUGGUUUAAAUCAUGUAUUACAGCAUGAUCAAAUACAAAAUGUAUGUAACCAUUUCGAUAUUCAUUAUAAUUUGAUAAAUUCGAAAGAGGAAUAUGACGAUUCUAAUGGUAAUACUACUGUUGAUUGCAAUGAUAAUAAUUUUGUUGGAUUUGUUGAUAAAAAUUCCAUAUUCGAUGUAGAGAGUGUGAAAGAUGUGAAGGAAAAAAAAAAACAAGAACAAAAUGUGUCUACUACUAAAAACGCUAACUUUGUGUCAAUAGAUGGUAAUUCCGAUUAUAUGGUUGUAACAUCUGGAGCGCAUGUUACGCUUGGUAUUAAUAAUGACAGUAGCGAAAGU